rnacentral:rRNA from 1 species
GGGUUGUGAGGUUAAGCGACUAAGCGUACACGGUGGAUGCCCUGGCAGUCAGAGGCGAUGAAGGACGUGCUAAUCUGCGAUAAGCGUCGGUGAGGUGAUAUGAACCGUUAUAACCGGCGAUUUCCGAAUGGGGAAACCCAGUGUGUUUCGACACACUAUCAUUAACUGAAUCCAUAGGUUAAUGAGGCGAACCGGGGGAACUGAAACAUCUAAGUACCCCGAGGAAAAGAAAUCAACCGAGAUUCCCCCAGUAGCGGCGAGCGAACGGGGAGGAGCCCAGAGCCUGAAUCAGUGUGUGUGUUAGUGGAAGCGUCUGGAAAGGCGCGCGAUACAGGGUGACAGCCCCGUACACAAAAAUGCACAUG